rnacentral:rRNA from 1 species
CCUACGGGAGGCAGCAGUGGGGAAUAUUGCACAAUGGGCGCAAGCCUGAUGCAGCAACGCCGCGUGAGGGACGACGGCCUUCGGGUUGUAAACCUCUUUUAGUAGGGAAGAAGCGAAAGUGACGGUACCUGCAGAAAAAGCACCGGCUAACUACGUGCCAGCAGCCGCGGUAA